rnacentral:rRNA from 1 species
UACAGAGGUCUCAAGCGUUGUUCGGAUUCAUUGGGCGUAAAGGGUGCGUAGGCGGCGCGGUAAGUCGGGGGUGAAAUCUCGGAGCUUAACUCCGAAACUGCAUUCGAUACUGCCGUGCUCGAGGACUGGAGAGGAGACUGGAAUUUACGGUGUAGCGGUGAAAUGCGUAGAUAUCGUAAGGAAGACCAGUGGCGAAGGCGGGUCUCUGGACAGAUCCUGACGCUGAGGCACGAAGGUCGGGGGAGCAAACGGG